rnacentral:tRNA from 1 species
GUUGUCGUGGCCGAGUGGCUAAGGCGAUGGACUACAAAUCUUUUGGGAUCUUCCCGCGCAGGCUAGAAUCCUGCCGACCAUC